rnacentral:hammerhead_ribozyme from 1 species
AUCUAACUGACGAGUUCCAAAUAAGACGAAACACACAGAUUUCAUCUAUCCUACAU